rnacentral:rRNA from 1 species
UACGAGGGGGGCGAGCGUUGUUCGGAAUUACUGGGCGUAAAGAGCACGUAGGCGGAUAUUUAAGUCAGGGGUGAAAUCCCAGAGCUCAACUCUGGAACUGCCUUUGAUACUGGGUAUCUUGAGUAUGGAAGAGGUAAGUGGAAUUCCGAGUGUAGAGGUGAAAUUCGUAGAUAUUCGGAGGAACACCAGUGGCGAAGGCGGCUUACUGGUCCAUUACUGACGCUGAGGUGCGAAAGCGUGGGGAGCAAACAGG